CACAUGCUUGUCUCAAAGAUAAGCCAUGCAUCUCUCAGUACAAGCCAAAUUAAGGUGAAACCGCGAAAGGCUCAUUAAAUCAGUUAUGGUUCCUUAGAUCGUACCCACAUUUACUUGGAUAACUGUGGUAAUUCUAGAGCUAAUACAUGCAAACAGAGCUCUGACCGGAGACGGGAGGAGUGCUUUUAUUAGAUCAAAACCAAUCGGCGGCAGUACUGCUUCGGCUUUGCUGUUCGUCGCACUUUUUGGUGACUCUGAAUAACUUUUGGCUGAUCGCACGGUCUUGCACCGGCGACGCAUCUUUCAAAUGUCUGCCUUAUCAACUGUCGAUGGUAGGUUCUGCGCCUACCAUGGUUGUAACGGGUAACGGGGAAUCAGGGUUCGAUUCCGGAGAGGGAGCCUGAGAAACGGCUACCACAUCCAAGGAAGGCAGCAGGCGCGCAAAUUACCCACUCCCGGCACGGGGAGGUAGUGACGAAAAAUAACGAUACGGGACUCAUCCGAGGCCCCGUAAUCGGAAUGAGUACACUUUAAAUCCUUUAACAAGGACCCAUUGGAGGGCAAGUCUGGUGCCAGCAGCCGCGGUAAUUCCAGCUCCAAUAGCGUAUAUUAAAGUUGUUGCGGUUAAAAAGCUCGUAGUUGAAUCUGUGUCCCGCGCUGUCGGUUCACCGCCCGCGGUGUUAACUGGCACGUCUCGCGGGACGUCCUGCCGGUGGACGUGUAUUCUGCGUGUUCCUUCCAUCAUUUCAUUCGUAUUGCAUUAGCGUACUGUUUUGUCAUGUGUCACACUAAUGUGGAUUCGUUCUGUGUUACGUGUGUCGCGUGUUUCAUACAAUAUGCGUGUUAUACGCGUGGUGGGUGUGUGGGGUUCCGUAGUGGUACCGUCCGACUAACGAAUCCUGUCGCGGUGCUCUUAAUUGAGUGUCGAGGCGGGCCGGCACGUUUACUUUGAACAAAUUAGAGUGCUCAAAGCAGGCUAAAAUUUCGCCUGAAUACUGUGUGCAUGGAAUAAUGGAACAGGACCUCGGUUCUAUUUUGUUGGUUUUCGGAACCCCGAGGUAAUGAUUAAUAGGGACAGAUGGGGGCAUUCGUAUUGCGACGUUAGAGGUGAAAUUCUUGGAUCGUCGCAAGACGGACAGAAGCGAAAGCAUUUGCCAAAAAUGUUUUCAUUAAUCAAGAACGAAAGUCAGAGGUUCGAAGGCGAUCAGAUACCGCCCUAGUUCUGACCAUAAACGAUGCCAGCUAGCGAUCCGCCGACGUUCCUCCGAUGACUCGGCGGGCAGCUUCCGGGAAACCAAAGCUUUUGGGUUCCGGGGGAAGUAUGGUUGCAAAGCUGAAACUUAAAGGAAUUGACGGAAGGGCACCACCAGGAGUGGAGCCUGCGGCUUAAUUUGACUCAACACGGGAAACUUUACCAGGCCCGGACACCGGAAGGAUUGACAGAUUGAUAGCUCUUUCUUGAUUCGGUGGGUGGUGGUGCAUGGCCGUUCUUAGUUGGUGAAGUGGUUUGUCUGGUUAAUUCCGAUAACGAACGAGACUCUAGCCUGCUAAAUAGGCGUUACUUACCGGUAUCCUGAAGGCUUGUGUCUCUCGUAACCUGGCAUGUGCGUGUAAGUAUGCGCGUAUAUAGCGUUCACUCCGGUGUUCCUGUAUGCGUAGCGCUGCGUAUGUGUUCUCAGUUCGAGUGUUCACAGUUUUUACUACCGGCGUACAUAUAAAUCUUCUUAGAGGGACAGGCGGCUUCUAGCCGCACGAGAUUGAGCAAUAACAGGUCUGUAAUGCCCUUAGAUGUUCUGGGCCGCACGCGCGCUACACUGAAGGAAUCAGCGUGUUUUCCCUGGCCGAACGGCCCGGGUAACCCGCUGAACCUCCUUCGUGCUAGGGAUUGGGGCUUGCAAUUUUUCCCCAUGAACGAGGAAUUCCCAGUAAGCGCAAGUCAUAAGCUUGCGUUGAUUACGUCCCUGCCCUUUGUGCACACCGCCCGUCGCUACUACCGAUUGAAUGAUUUAGUGAGGUCUUCAGACUGGUUCGCGGCGGCGUUUCGACUCCGCCGAAGAAGCUGGGAAGAUGACCAAACUUGAUAUUUUUGCCGAAGUUAA
rnacentral:rRNA from 1 species